rnacentral:lncRNA from 1 species
GUAGGAGUCCGGGCGGAGUCUACUUGCGGUUGAAGUUGUCAGCGGAGUCCGGCUCCCGUAAGAGUCCGGAUGAAGUCUGUCUGCAGCCGUUGGAGUCGAGGACAAAGUCCGGCUCCCGUAGGAGUCCGGGCGGAGUCUUCCUGCAAUUAAAGUCAAAGGCGAAGUCCGGCUCCCGUAGGAGUCCGGACAAGGCUUACCGGCAGUUGAUGUUGAGGAUGG